rnacentral:rRNA from 1 species
UACGGAGGAUCCAAGCGUUAUCCGGAUUUAUUGGGUUUAAAGGGUGCGUAGGCGGCUUAUUAAGUCAGGGGUGAAAGACGGUGGCUCAACCAUCGCAGUGCCCUUGAUACUGAUGAGCUUGAAUACACUUGAGGUAGGCGGAAUGUGACAAGUAGCGGUGAAAUGCAUAGAUAUGUCACAGAACACCAAUUGCGAAGGCAGCUUACUAAGGUGCAAUUACGCUGAGGCACGAAAAGCGUGGGGGAUCAAA